GGGAGAAGGAGCGAGGAGGGGUAGGAGGUUGAAGGAGCCCCAGCUGCCUCUGGGUUAAAAAGCUUCUCGGACCUCAAGUUUCAGAACCGAGAUUCGUCCACCGCUUCCGACAGGAGAUUGUCUGAGGGGGCCUCGGAGGCAGGAGGAAUACAGGGAGUGACCACAAAGCAAAAGACAGAAAAAAAAGAGGGGAAGAACACAGCCACUUUAUCCAAGAAAUCCCCUCUGCAAGUUUUCUUUAGGUAGCAGUGUUGGCGAUGGCUCUGAUUUACAUGAAACCAUCGGUUCGCUCUCGAGGCAAGCUGCAGCCGCCCUGUACUACUCACGUCGAUCAGGAAGAAAAUUUUAUCCUCGUCUGCCUCCGGAAGGUCUGCACCACACUUG